rnacentral:rRNA from 1 species
UCAGUAACACGUAGUCAACCUGCCCUGGAGAUGCGGACAAACCCGGGAAAUUGGGGCCUAUCCGCGAUAGAUGACCUCAUCUGGAAGGAGAGGUCGUCCAAAUGGACGCACGGGUAUGCUCUGUGCGGACCGCUCCAGGAUGGGACUGCGGCCGAUCAGGCUGUUGGCGGGGUAAUGGCCCACCAAACCUGUAACCGGUACGGGCUUUGAGAGAAGGAGUCCCGGAGAUGGACACUGAGUACAAGGGUCCAGGCCCUACCGGGGUCGCAUCAGGCGCUGAUAAACUUCGCAAUGCGCGAAUAGUCGUGAACGAGGCUAGUCCGAGUGCUCCCUGCUAAAGGGAGCUUUUCUCGGCUGUAAAUAGCCGGGGAAUAAGGGGAGGGCAAGUCUGGU